GCCUGGAUGGCUCAGUCGGUUAAGCUUCUGACUUCAGCUCAGGUCAUGAUCUCACGGUUCAUGGGUUCAAGCCCCACAUCAGGCU
rnacentral:tRNA from 1 species